rnacentral:rRNA from 1 species
AUGAAGAUGAUCCUCCUUUCACUGUGGAUCCAAAAUACAUUGGAGCCAUCUGCUAAUUGUGGCCUGCCUGGUCAUUUUGUGGGCAUGUGCUCCAUUCCCAAGAUUUGUUUCAUGUGUAAGACCCCUGGACACCAUAUGGAUGCUUGGCCCACCUGGUACAAAGCAUACCCAUCAGCUAUGUAUUGGGGGAGUGCAAAUACUGGACUUGGGUUCUUUCACAUUGAAACUAGUGAUAAAGAAGACAGUGAGUGGCUUAAUUUUGGCAAUGUGGGGCUAGUUCUUGUUGAAAAAGGUGAAAUUUCUGGUAAGGAGCUAGGACAUCACUUCUCUGAUAUGUGGAAGACUAACUGGCCUUGGCAGAUCAGACCUUAUGACAAAAACAAGUACAUUAUCAGAUUCCCUCCAAACAAAAAUAUUAAGGACUCGGUGGAAUACCCUUCAAUUAAUCUAAAGAAGGAAGGAGUGGCAAUCUCUUUUGCUGAUUGGAAUGGUGAGCAUCCUGUCUAUGACAGUCUGAUAGAAACUUGGAUUGUCAUUGAUGGCCUUCCACCAAAAUGGCUCUCUUGGUCGACUAUUGCUCAAGUGGCCACCACUCUGGGAGUGCUUGUCAAUGUUGACUGGCAUACCAUCUUCAGAAGUUUCUAUGAGAAAGUUAGGGUCCAGGUGGCUGUUAGAGACCCCAGCAAGAUCCCCAGAGACAGAGUUGUAGAGAUCAAUCAUGAGCUAUAUUUGCUGAAUUUUUCUGUGGAGAGAGAUGCUGAUAAUGGGACCACCUCAGACAAGCCAUCUGAUCCUGAUGAUAAUGAUGAUGAUUCAAACAAAAAGAAACAAGAAGAGGAGGAUUUUGAUUCUAGCAAUGAUGACUUACUGGGGGAGGAUAUGGAUACUGGGACUAGUAACACUAUCAACAAAGAUAAGAAUGUUGCUACCGGUACUGGUUCCAGAGGGCCAAAGUCUUUACAAAAAUGCUGCACCCCUGUCCCUGAGAGCAAUAUAGAAGCUUCUGUCUUCUCUAAAGUUCAAGGGGCCCCAAUGACCAAAAGCUAUCUGGAGGUUGUCAAAAAGAAGCCAAUAGAAAACAUGGGAGGUCCCCUCCUGGAGAGAUUUGAGGCUGUAGUUACUCAAUCCCACACCCUUCCCCAAACAUCUGACAAAAACAAGAAGUGGGGUCCUGUGAUUGCUACUAGAGCUAGCACCAGAAAUAAGAAAGAUGGGAGACCUACUCUGCAGAAAGCCCAAGAAUUGAAACAAAUCAAAGAUCUGGACCUACCAAAAAAAGGUGAGCUGAAUGAUAUUUGGAAGAAAGAAGAGAUCAAAGCUAGACAGUGGUCUAGGGAGAGGGAGAUCCUAGAAGGUGACCUUAAUACUGGGUAUUUCAAAGCGGUGGCAAGCCAAAAAAGGAGGAAGAAGCAGAUCCUGAUGCUUGAAAGUGAUGAAGAUAUUAUGGCGAAAAACAGCUUCCAUUUUGGCCUCGUGGGAGAUCAGGUGCGCGGACCCCGCCAAAAGGAGAUGUCAUCUCCUGGUGCAACAUCUGGAACAAAUGGCGCGAGCACCGCCCCUCCUUCUGUGGCCAGACCCUGGCUAGGGUUGAACCAAUGCUCUGGAGCGACAAGACCUUGCUUCAGGCCUGGAGUCUCGCUCUGA